AUGAUGGAGUCCUGCUUUCCUGGGGAUGGCUGAACUGCUGCCUGCCCAUGAGAAGUGGUGAAGGAAUUCCUUGUUUGGCUUUCAGGAACCACAGCUGCUUGUGGCCAGACCUGCCUGGGCCAUAGCUGAGCUCCUGGACUUCCAAUUGUCCCUCUGCAGUUUGUCACCUUCUACCAGGAGUUGGGGCUGACCAUGGCUGAUUCCUUUGUGUCCCUCACUAACUGAGGGACAGCCACUCACAUUUGUGGAAAGGACUAUUGGGGUUUUACCCCAGCUGGAAGCAAAGCCCACACAGCCACUGGCUCAUUGCUGGUGGGAGGAGAGAGCUGGAAGAGUAAAAGCAAGAUAACUUAUGGGCUGGGAUAAAGAGUUUAACAGGACCUGCAUUGCCAUUUCCAUCAUGGUUCCCUGGCACUCCUGAGGAAGUGUGCUCUCUUGAGAAAUGAGAAUAUUACUUGGCACUGUCAUCAGACCUGAUUGAGCUGGGCCACUCUGAGAGGCCAAAUUCAUAUGAACAGAUCAGUGAAGGUGUUGAUUCUUGGUGGGCUGCUGAGGGUCUGCUCUAACAGUAGGAUCGACUGUCAAGUGCCACCAGGUGACCCUGAAAUGAAGAAAUGAAGCUGUACUGUCUUCAACUUAAUAGAAAAUAUUCCCACACACACACCCCAGUGAAUAAAUGCUUAUGGAAAAAUUCUUCCCUGAAAUAUGAUAAAGAUCAAAAACACUACAGGAAUCUUUUUCCUCCUGGGUUUUAAUACCCAGCCCAACAGCCUCAUGGAAGAAAGCUCUACUCAAAUAACUUCAGAUUUGUAUGCAUGCUUGCUUUUACUAGAGCUUUUAACAUGCAUGAUGGAGCAAUCAGACUUGAAACUCAAUAGAAACAUCUGAUGCCUCACUGCUGUACCUUGGGCAAAGAGAGAGAAUUUCCAUGUUUGGAAUUCUCCUCUUCUAAUAAAUGAAAGCACUAAAAUUGAAGGACUGCAGGUUCAAAAGAAAAUGUGGAAAUGAAUUAUCAAUCAGGAAUCUGAGGGCAUUAGAUAAAGGCAAUAACAAUCUCACAGAAGCCAGGG